CUCUAUUGGCGCCCUGUUAUGGAAUUAGAUAUAUCGGGUUCUUCUCUCUCUCACAUUCUAUUUGACCACCAAACCUCACCCCACAUCACCUCACCUCAGCGUAGACCACCGCUGCUUGCCAUCGCCCCCGCCGCAGAUUACCACCGUCACCGCCGCAUCCUCACAGAUUUCAGACGUUCUUUGUAAUGCUGGAAAACCUUGUGGCUUGCAGUCAGUUUGUUUAUAUGGAGGAACUUCUAAAGGACCCCAGGUUCUAGAUGAAGCUGAUCGGAUGCUUGACAUGGGAUUUGAGCCAGAAGCUCGUUCUAUAUUGAGCCAAACAUGUUCUGUAAACACAUGGCUUCCUAAGCAGCCUCAUCCGUAUCCUACAUUUUAGUUUGAGUCCUUGUAAACCUUUGUGAUAGUCAUUAUAGAUAACUGUGUUUAUUUUUUUUUCUAAAAAUUGCUUUGAUUAGUUUUUUGGGUUUCUUAAGGUGUUGGGAUUCCAAAAUCAGAUUCCAAAAUCAAAGAAGAUUUGUAAACUUGUAGGCACAUGCACAGGCUUUACAUACAAACAAAAUUGUUCGUGUGUCUUCUUCUACAACAAAAUAAAAAUGAUUACAAAAUGGAUUAGGAAAUUUUCCUUAUGAAUAAUGUCUUCGACAUGAGCACAUGCAUCAUUUAUCUUUGGAACAUGUAUCUAGUGUUGGCCUUACCUUUAUUGUUGGAGUAAAAUCCGGUUUCGCUUACUCUUUCUAUUAUUUUCAUGAAACUGAAUUCCCGGUAGUCCUUUAUUGUGCUCUGAUUACAAUUUCCAAUUAUUGAUAAUUAUAGUCCAUAUACAAGAUGUUUAACAUAUAUAUUGUUAUGGAUAAUGUGUGUCUUCUUCUACAGCCAUAUAAAAAGAUUACAAAUGGAUUAGAAAAUUUUUGUUAUGAAUCAUGUCAUUGGCAUGAGCACACACAUCAUUCAUCUUUCGGUUUUGUAUGAUGUAUUGGCCUUGCCUUUAUUGUUGGAGUAAAAUCUGGCUUUGCUUUGGAUUAAUGCCAAAGGUUUUGAAAUUUUCCACCUUGCAUUUGUGCAACUGAUAUUCCUACAUAAUUUGAUGCAUGCAAAUCUCCUUUGGUAUAUAACAGGGCUGAUUGAUAAAUAUUACCGAACUUGAAUUGAGUGUUGACUAAUUAGAAAUUUUUUAUACCAAUAUAAGUUUUAUAGAAAUUAAAUGGAAGAACUCCUCAAAAGAAAACUAUUGAUUUUUAAAUUUUUUUUUUAUUUUACUUCGACAAAGGAAAGAACCACCAAAUAGUGAAAUGUACAAAUUUAAGCUAUGUGUAUGAAAUAAAUGGCGCUACCAGCUCACCGCUCACUAACCAUGGAAACAUAAGAUACGUGGCCGUUUCUUCCCCACCCCCACAUCCACAAAUCCCAUGCAUAAUGUUUCUAUUUCCAAGAAUAAUUUAAUGGGGUUGUUCUCUUGUUAAUCAUUUACUAAUUAGCAUUAGUAUGAAUCUAUUAUCUUUGU